UCAGCCCUACGGGACGCAGCAGUGGGGGAUAUUGCGCAAUGGGGGGAACCCUGAUGCAGCGACGCCGCGUGGGUGAAGAAGCGCCUCGGCGCGUAAAGCCCUGUCAGCAGGGAAGAAAAUGACGGUACCUGAAGAAGAAGCCCCGGCUAACUACGUGCCAGCAGCCGCGGUAAUACGUAGGGGGCAAGCGUUAUCCGGAUUUACUGGGUGUAAAGGGGGCGCAGACGGCGAUGCAAGCCAGGAGUGAAAGCCCGGGGCCCAACCCCGGGCCUGCUCUUGGAACUGCGUGGCUGGAGGGCAGGAGG
rnacentral:rRNA from 1 species